rnacentral:rRNA from 1 species
CAGUCGCCGCGGUAAUACAGAGGGUGCGAGCGUUAAUCGGAUUUACUGGGCGUAAAGCGUGCGUAGGCGGCUAAUUGAGUCGGAUGUGAAAUCCCCGAGCUUAACUUGGGAAUUGCAUUCGAUACUGGUUAGCUAGAGUGUGGGAGAGGAUGGUAGAAUUCCAGGUGUAGCGGUGAAAUGCGUAGAGAUCUGGAGGAAUACCGAUGGCGAAGGCAGCCAUCUGGCCUAACACUGACGCUGAGGUACGAAAGCAUGGGGAGCAAAUGGGAUUAGAUACCCGCGUAGUCCCUGUCUCUUAUAC